AACGAGAUUUGUGAUUUAGGCGUAUUACCUAGAUCCCACAAAGGGUGUUGAUUGAUUAAGAUAGCAGGACGGUGGUCAUUAAAGUCAAAAUCCGCUAAGGAGUGUCUAAUAACUCACCUGCAGAAUCAACUUGCCCCAAAAAUUGAUGGUGAUUAAGCGCGUGACCUAUACGCAACCGUUGGGGCAAGUGCCAGGCGCCAAUG
rnacentral:ncRNA from 1 species